rnacentral:hammerhead_ribozyme from 1 species
AUCCAGCUGACAAGUCGCGGAUAGGACGAAAUGCGCAUCCUGGAU